CUCCUACGGGGGGCAGCAGUGGGGAAUAUUGCACAAUGGGGGAAACCCUGAUGCAGCAACGCCGCGUGAAGGAAGACGGUUUUCGGAUUGUAAACUUCUUUUCUUAGUGAAGAAGCAAGUGACGGUAGCUAAGGAAUAAGCAUCGGCUAACUACGUGCCAGCAGCCGCGGUAAUACGUAUGGUGCAAGCGUUAUCCGGAUUUACUGGGUGUAAAGGGAGCGCAGGCGGCGCGUUAAGCCUGGUGUGAAAGCCCGCGGCCCAACCGCGGGACUGCAUUGGGAACUGGCGCGCUGGA
rnacentral:rRNA from 1 species